UCUGGGGCUGCUUCUCGAGUCCAGGACCCGGAGGGGGGAAGCUGGGCUGGGUUCGGGGGCCCAGGUGGAGUCGGGACAAGGAGGGAGAAAGUUGGGGCUGAGUUGGGGGACCAGAGAGAGAAAGUGGGGGCGGACCGGCUCCGGGGGCACAUGACGGCGGCGCCCGCCCCGCCCCGCGCCCGCCCCCUGUCCGGCCCGGGGGGAGGAGACGGGAAGGUUUUAAAAGCGAUUCGGCCCCGCGGCGGGCCGGCCAGUGAGUGGGAUGGAGCCGGGCCCGCGACCGACCCCGGCCCGUCUCGGGUCCGCCGCCCGCCCGCGUCUCUGCCGCCGGGCCCGGGGCGGCGGCCGGAGCCCCGAGUGCCGGCUCCCCUCCCCCGCGGGUGAGUCGGGGAGGGAACCGGGAGGGAGGCGGCGGCGCCGCGGCGACGGCGGCAACUUUUCUGCGCCGGACUCGUGGGCGGAGUGGGGGGGGUGCGCCCGGCGGGUCCCCAGCGCUUGGAGAGGGGGAGGGCGCCGCCCCGCCGCCGGUGGCUGUGUGUGUGUGUGGGGGUGGGGGGUGCAGCGGGGAUCGUGCAUCUGGCGGCGGCGGUGGCGGCAGAGUCCCGGGGCGCCCCCUACGGAGCGGGGGAAGGGCAGCCCAACAUUUACCCCCUCCCCAGGAGACCCCUGGCCACUCCCCCCACCGGAGACCCUUGAGAGCGUGGUGGGGAGGGCGGGUCCCAUAGUCACGGGGGCAGGUCCAGGUGGGCCGGGAGUCAGCGGCAGGGUGGGAAGGGGGAGGGCAUAUGCCCGGGCUGGGGUGGGGAGGGAUGGAUACACACGGGUACCUGGGCUCCUAGGGUGCCUCUCAGGGCUUUGGUGGGGAUGGGGCUGGAGGAGUGGGUGGGUGGGGGUCUCCCAGAGUUCCGUGGAUGGCGGGUGACACGGUGGUUCAAGCUCUUGACAUGUGGGCCAACGAGUGGAGGGAAGGCCUUCCAUUGAGCAGAUGGGCUUGGGGGCCCAAGGUGUAGCCCCAGCUUGGUGGAGAUUGGGGCACCCCUCCUCUCCCUCUUGGCUCCUCCGGGCCCAGGAGAGAGGAGCUCAUUCAAGGCUGCUUAGGAAGGGGGCCAGGUGUGGGAGAUUCCUGGAGGGAUGACUCCCCAGUCCUGUGCCCCGCGAGCGGCCCGCAGUCCUCAUGCCCUUGGGCUGCAGGCCCCUGACUAAAACCUGAACCUUAUAUUCUAGCCCCACACUGACCUCUGACCCCAGCACUGGACUUGACUGCCACCAGAGCCCCCAGCCCUACACUGACUUGCCUAUUCAGCCCAGCCAGGCCCAGCCAGACCCAGUGGCCUCCCGAAUGCCUUGAAGGUGCCAACCUCCGGUCCCACCCGGUGCCCCCCAACCCCUGUGCCAUGGCCGGCUGGGGUUCCUGGGGAUGGGAUUUGCUGCCUGUCACAAAUCACAUUGCCAGGGAUUUCCAACCGACCCUGAGCCCUGCCUCUGGGGCUGCCGCCACCGCCUUCGCUGCUGAGGACGCUGCCCGGGGAUAGGGCCGGGGAUGGGAGGCCGAGAGGCCCCCCGCCCCCUGCUGCCUGCGUCUGGCCUGGGGAGCAGGGCUUAGCUGCUUGUGAGCAGAGUCCACACCAAGUCGUGUUCACAGUGGCUAAGUUCCGCCCCCCGGGACCCCGCCUCCUCUGGCCCUGCCGCCUGCCUGUCCCACUGUCCGGGCCUCCCUGGGCUCUGCCUCCCGUGCCUACUGAGCUGAAACACAGUUGAUUUGUGCAGACUGGCUCAGUUCAGCAGGAACAGGAGUCGAGCCCCCUCGAAGCCUGUGCAGCCUGCCUUCCUCGGGUGGGCUGAUUCCUAGGGGAAAAGCUGAGGACCCAGACCCAGACCUAUGUUGGGCGGAGGGACUUGGGGGAGGGGCAAUAUAGCCUGGAAUGGGGUGGGUGGACCCAGCUGUCUGCUGUAGGCGCCCUCCCCCAACUCCGUACUUGGGGGUCCUGCCCCCUGCACAGUCCUACUUCCGCUGAGGCUGGACAGAACUCCUAGGGAGAAUGGGCAGGUGGGUGGGUGGCCCUCCCACUAGAAAGGGAAGCCAUCUGGGUCCCUAUCCCCUCCCAGUAACCCUCCCAGCCUGGAGCCUUGGCCUUUUCUCUCCCAGGCCUGGUGGGACGUGGGCCAGGCCUGUACCUUCCUUCCCAGCAGCCAGUUACUCAAGAGGAAGCUGCCCUGGGCCCCCAGACCGUUAAAUGCCAACUCCGGCUUCCGGAACCAGGCUGGCCUGACCUGAGUGUGCCUGGCCUCUUCUCCCUGAACCCUGUGGCAUCCUAACUUUGGGGGUGUGGGGAGAGCUGUCACACUCUCCGGGCACGUGGAGCAGGGAGCAAGGUCCCUUGUGGGCCCAGAAAGGACACAGAUGGGCCUGUUGAGUCCGCCGGUGGCCCUGCAGUGCACGUGCUAGUGCAAGACCGGAGACCGUCCAGUAUCAGAUGGGAUGGACCCUGAGUGCGACCAGGCAGAGAGAAGCCCCCUAGGCUGUCAGGGCUGGCCCAGGGUACCCUUUCACCCAGGGAUAGGGGCAUACUUCAGCUCGGGGCAGGGUCUGUGCUGUGUGUUGCUGCUGUCCAAUUAAAUAAAACCUGCCUCCUACCUCAUUCCUGAAGGUCUGGUAGUUUGUGAUUUACUCCCUCCUGUCGCUGGAGUUUUGGCUUUUCAGGUGGGGAGGACCGAUGGGCUUGAAUUUACUGUCCCUGCACCCUGAACUCCUGACUUCCCAGGAUCCCUAUGCCUGUCCCACCUGUUGUGAGGAAGGUCGCAAGUUUAGUCACACAGGGCAGAGAAAGCUGGAAAGGUGACCUUGAGGGAUGUCCUAGGAUGGGGGCGGGAGGGAGGGGUGACUCUCAGGGAGGGCUGAUGCAAUGGCAGGGAGAGCUGUUCUAGGAAGAAUCUAGAUGGGGGUCAUAAUGAGGAGUACCCCAAGCCCAGGGCCUAUUGAACCCAACCUCAGGUGGCAGUGGGGGGUGACCCCGAGGGAAACUCUGGGCAGAGAUGGCUGGGGCCCGAGGGUCUUGAGCUGGUGACAUUUGGGGGUGGCGGAGAGAUAAGGGAGAAUUCAAGCCUCAAGUUAGACUUGACCUGCUGGUGUCCGAGAAUGCUGGCAGGGAACUCGUGCUUGAGGUGUGUGUGGGUUACGAGGGAAUCCCCGGGCCCAAUGGGGACAUUUUUGGAUGACUUUGAGAGCUGAGGGGCAUAAGAAGGGAGCCCCAAGUCCGAGGACGGCAUUUGUAGGCAGCUGAGACUGUAAGGGGUGAAGCAAAGGCUCGGCACCGAGCCUGCCCCCUCUACCCUCAAUCACGCCUCUAGGCGGCGCAAAAGAACACGCCGGCACAUACCUGCGGGAACGGGGGAGGCGGGGCAGAUGGGCCCGUCUCCAAUGGGCCCUCUCGGGCAGAGGGCAGUGCCACGAACCAAUCGCUGUGCCCAGCGCUGCCGAUGCCCCGCCCACGACCGCGCGCGCGCUGUCUCGGCGCCCUCUGGCGGUCAGCUCCACCCAGCACUGCUCUGUACCCCGCCUGGCCGCGAAGCCCGUCCUCGCUUGCCCCGGCCCUGACAGUGACCCAGACACACUUGUUCAUCUAUCCGCCACACCCUAAAGACAAGGGGGGGGGGGGGGGGGCGGCGUCCUGCUUCUCAGGAAACUAGAGAAAGAAGGCAACCGAAGGCCUUCUUUGCGGCCCCCCAGUCGGCUCACUCCAUUUGGGGACUGGAAGCCUCCACAGCGGCGUAGGAAUCCAGACACGCCCAGGCCGCGCCCCUCGCUGACCACACCCACCUGCAUUUCUCGCCGACGCCAGAACCCGCCCACCAAGGCCGAGUCGAAGCCCGGGAUUCCUGUCUUGUGUGUGUCUCCCCCACCCAGGUGCACCCAGCACCUGUCUGGGUCCCCGCUUUCAGCAACUUGGAGACAAGUACCUCCAACAUUGGUGUCUGGAGGCAGGGCACCCCCUAGUGGCCAUUCCCAGCAGUUCAAGGGCCAUGCUGUCCGAGGUGGGCAGGGUCAGUGGCUUCACCAUGGUACUGAUCAGGCUCUGCCUUUCCUUACGCUUUGGAACCCCACUAUUCUCGGAAAUGAUAUUCUUCCCGACUCGUAGGGCCACUGUGACACGUGUUGUAACAGGUGACAGGUAUAAAGCUCUCCUCUUGGGGCUUGCCCAGCUCUCAGCCCUAUUAUCUACACUACUGCGAACGGACGAAACCAGCAAGCACUCCCAUUCCACCCCUCGCUUGAAGUUGUGCCGGGAGCAGCCAAGGCUGGAGUUUUUCUGUCCAGGGAUCAGGUGGUCCUGGUUCGGGGCGGGGGGGGGGGGAAGGGGACACACCUCAGUCUCAAAAGCUGUGUUAUUAAAAAAAAAGAAAAAGAAAAAGAAAAAGGAAAUACAA